rnacentral:rRNA from 1 species
AAUAACAGGUCUGUGAUGCCCUCAGAUGUCCCGGGCCGCACACGUGCUACAUUGAUUAGCGCAGUGCGCAUACUUUCAAUAUGAUACAUUAGAUUGGAUUGUUCUGUUGAGCUCCAUCUAAUACUAUCCGGCUUGAGAAGGCUGGGUAAUCAAUUGUAAGUGCUGGUUCCUCCUCCCGUUGAGCAUUUUAAUAAUGGCCUCUCUACAUCCCUAGCAAUAUGCCUAGUGCGAUUGUAGUUGAGCCUUGCCAUUUAUGCAAGUGUCAAUUCUCAGUGGGGACAGACAUUUGAUAAUUCUUUGUCUCGUUCUUAACUAGGAAUGCCUUGUACGGGUCUUGGUUCAACAGACCACCCGGAAUACGUCCCUGCCCUUUGUACACACCGCCCGUCGCUCUUACCGAUGAAUUUCCCUGWGAGUUUGAAGGACUGAUGGUUGCAAAAUCAUUGGAAAUUCUGUC